UACGUAGGGUGCAAGCGUUAAUCGGAAUUACUGGGCGUAAAGCGUGCGCAGGCGGUUUUGUAAGCCAGAUGUGAAAUCCCCGAGCUUAACUUGGGAACUGCAUUUGGGACUGCAAAGCUGGAGUACGGCAGAGGGAGGUGGAAUUCCACGUGUAGCAGUGAAAUGCGUAGAGAUGUGGAGGAACACCGAUGGCGAAGGCAGCCUCCUGGGCCAGCACUGACGCUCAUGCACGAAAGCGUGGGGAGCAAACAGG
rnacentral:rRNA from 1 species